UCCCUGGAGGUUCAGAGGUUAGAACUCUGUACUUCCACUGCAGGGGACACAGGUUCAAUCCCUGACUGGGGAA